rnacentral:misc_RNA from 1 species
GAUGAAGAACGCAGCGAAAUGCGAUAAGUAGUGUGAAUUGCAGAAUUCAGUGAAUCAUCGAAUCUUUGAACGCACAUUGCGCCCCCUGGUAUUCCGGGGGGCAUGCCUGUUCGGGCGUCAUUUCACCACUCAAGCCUCGCUUGGUAUUGGGCAAUGCGGUCCGCCGCGUGCCUCAAAUCGACCGGCUGGGUCUUCUGUCCCCUAAGCGUUGUGGAAACUAUUCGCUAAAGGGUGUUCGGGAGGCUACGCCGUAAAACAACCCCAUUUCUAAGGUUGACCUCGGAUCAGGUAGGGAUACCCGCUGAACUUAAGCAUAUCAAUAAGCGGAGGA